AGAGUUUGAUCCUGGCUCAGAUUGAACGCUGGCGGCAGGCCUAACACAUGCAAGUCGAGCGGAUGAGAAGAGCUUGCUCUUCGAUUCAGCGGCGGACGGGUGAGUAAUACCUAGGAAUCUGCCUGGUAGUGGGGGACAACGUUUCGAAAGGAACGCUAAUACCGCAUACGUCCUACGGGAGAAAGCAGGGGACCUUCGGGCCUUGCGCUAUCAGAUGAGCCUAGGUCGGAUUAGCUAGUUGGUGAGGUAAUGGCUCACCAAGGCUACGAUCCGUAACUGGUCUGAGAGGAUGAUCAGUCACACUGGAACUGAGACACGGUCCAGACUCCUACGGGAGGCAGCAGUGGGGAAUAUUGGACAAUGGGCGAAAGCCUGAUCCAGCCAUGCCGCGUGUGUGAAGAAGGUCUUCGGAUUGUAAAGCACUUUAAGUUGGGAGGAAGGGCAGUAAGCGAAUACCUUGCUGUUUUGACGUUACCGACAGAAUAAGCACCGGCUAACUCUGUGCCAGCAGCCGCGGUAAUACAGAGGGUGCAAGCGUUAAUCGGAAUUACUGGGCGUAAAGCGCGCGUAGGUGGUUCGUUAAGUUGGAUGUGAAAUCCCCGGGCUCAACCUGGGAACUGCAUCCAAAACUGGCGAGCUAGAGUAGGGCAGAGGGUGGUGGAAUUUCCUGUGUAGCGGUGAAAUGCGUAG
rnacentral:rRNA from 1 species